rnacentral:rRNA from 1 species
CACUAUGACCAUGCCACCCUGAACAAGCCUGAUCCUGUCUGAUCUCGGAAGUUAAGCAGGGUCGGGCCUGGUUAGUACAUGGAUGGGAGACCACUUAGGGAAGACCAGGUGCUGUAGGUG